CGGGGUGCAGCAGGCGCGAAAACUUUGCAAUACACGAAAGUGUGACAGGGCUAUCCCGAGUGCCAUCCGCUGAGGAAGGCUUUUACCCAGUCUAGAACGCUGGGGGAAUAAGGAGAGGGCAAGUCUGGUGUCAGCCGCCGCGGUAAUACCAGCUCUCCGAGUGGUGUGGAUGUUUAUUGGGCCUAAAGCAUCCGUAGCUGGCUAAGUUAGUCCCUUGUUAAAUCCACCGAAUUAAUCGUUGGAUUGCGGGGGAUACUGCUUGGCUAGGGGACGAGAGAGGCAGACGGUAUUUCCGGGGUAGGGGUGAAAUCCUAUAAUCCCGGGAAGACCACCAGUGGCGAAGGCUGUCUGCUAGAACGCGCCCGACGGUGAGGGAUGAAAGCUGGGGGAGCGAACCGGAUUAGAUACCCGGGUAGUCCCAGCUGUAAACGAUGCAGGCUAGGUGUUUGGACGGCCACGUGCCGUUCUAGUGCCGCAGGGAAGCUGUUAAGCCUGCCGCCUGGGGAGUACGAUCGCAAGAUUGAAACUUAAAGGAAUUGGCG
rnacentral:rRNA from 1 species